GGACCCCACUGCUAUCGGGAUAGGACUAAGACAUGCUAGUCGAGCGCCUUCUAGCCAUGAUGAGGGCGCGGCGCACAGCUCAGUAACACGUGGCUAACCUGCCCUUGGGAUAGGAAUACCCCCGGGAAACUGGGGCUAAUUCCCAAUAGGUGAAGAACUCUGGAAUGAGUCUCCGCCAGAAACGACGCUUAUGUCAUGCUGUAGGCGUCGCCCAAGGAUGGGGCCGCGACCGAUCAGGUUGUUGGUGAGGUAAUGGCUCACCAAGCCUUUUACCGGUACGGGCCGUGAGAGCGGUAGCCCGGAGAUGGGCACUGAGACAAGGGCCCAGGCCCUACGGGGCGCAGCAGUCGCGCAAACUUUGCAAUACACGAAAGUGUGACAGGGUCAUCCCGAGUGCCGA
rnacentral:rRNA from 1 species